UACGAAGGGGGCUAGCGUUGCUCGGAAUCACUGGGCGUAAAGGGUGCGUAGGCGGGUUUUUAAGUCAGAGGUGAAAUCCUGGAGCUACAACUCCAGAACUGCCUUUGAUACUGAAAGUCUUGAGUAUGGGAGAGGUGAGUGGAACUGCGAGUGUAGAGGUGAAAUUCGUAGAUAUUCGCAAGAACACCAGUGGCGAAGGCGGCUCACUGGCCCAUAACUGACGCUGAGGCACGAAAGCGUGGGGAGCAAACAGG
rnacentral:rRNA from 1 species